rnacentral:rRNA from 1 species
GCUUACGGCCACACUACCUUGAGAACGCCCGAUCUCGUCUGAUCUCGGAAGCUAAGCAGGGGAACAAAUAAAAAAGAGCGAUCACAGGCGUGAAAAACCCUGUUGACC